rnacentral:rRNA from 1 species
GAUGAACGCUGGCGGCGUGCCUAAUACAUGCAAGUCGAGCGAACGGACGAGAAGCUUGCUUCUCUGAUAUUAGCGGCGGACGGGUGAGUAACACGUGGAUAACCUACCUAUAAGACUGGGAUAACUUCGGGAAACCGGAGCUAAUACCGGAUAAUAUUUUGAACCGCAUGGUUCAAAAGUGAAAGACGGUCUUGCUGUCACUUAUAGAUGGAUCCGCGCUGCAUUAGCUAGUUGGCAAGGUAACGGCUUACCAAGGCAACGAUGCAUAGCCGACCUGAGAGGGUGAUCGGCCACACUGGAACUGAGACACGGUCCAGACUCCUACGGGAGGCAGCAGUAGGGAAUCUUCCGCAAUGGGCGAAAGCCUGACGGAGCAACGCCGCGUGAGUGAUGAAGGUCUUCGGAUCGUAAAACUCUGUUAUUAGGGAAGAACAUAUGUGUAAGUAACUGUGCACAUCUUGACGGUACCUAAUCAGAAAGCCACGGCUAACUACGUG